rnacentral:rRNA from 1 species
GACGAACGCUGGCGGCGUGCCUAAUACAUGCAAGUCGAACGCAGUGGGGACGGGUGAGUAACACGUGGGUAACCUCCCAUCAGAGGGGAUAACACUUGGAAACAGGUGCUAAACCGAUACUGAUGGAUGGACCCGCGGUGCCUUAGCUAGUGGGUGAGGUAACGGCUCACCAAGGCCUAGAUGCAUAGCCGACCUGAGAGGGUGAACAGCCACACUGGGACUGGAACACGGACCAAACGCCUACGGGAGGCAGCAGGGGGGAAUCUUCGACAAUGGACGCAAGUCUGACCGAGCAAGGCCGCGUGAGUGAAGAAGGUUUUCGGAUCGUAAAACUCUGUUGUUAGAGAAGCGGUAUCUAACCAGAAAGCCACGGCUAACUACGUGCCAGCAGCCGCGGUAAUUC